CCUACGGUGGGCAGCAGUAGGGAAUCUUGCGCAAUGGGCGAAAGCCUGACGCAGCAACGCCGCGUGAACGAGACGCCCUUCGGGGUGUAAAGUUCUGUCAGUGGGGACGAAAAAUGACGGUACCCACAGAGGAAGCACCGGCUAACUCCGUGCCAGCAGACGGGGUCAUACGGAGGGUGCAAGCGUUGUCCGGAAUCAGUGGGCGUAAAGGGUUGGUAGGCGGCAUGUAAAGUCAGGUGUUAAAGGCGCAGGCUCAACCUGUGGAUGGCACUGGAUACUUGCAAGCUGGAAUGCGGUAGAGGUAAAGGGAAUUCCUGGUGUAGCGGUGAAAUGCUUAGAUAUGAGGAGGAACAUCGGUGGCGUAAGCGCUUUACUGGGCCGUAAUUGACGCUGAGGAACGAAAGCCAGGGUAGCAAAUGGGAUUAGAUACCCUUGUAGUC
rnacentral:rRNA from 1 species